rnacentral:lncRNA from 1 species
ACAAGAUCCAAAUCAAUGUCCUUCCGGGAGAAUUUCUUAAAAUCUUGUUUUCUCUCGUUGUCUUCGGAAGAAGCCCGACAUUUCUUAUAGGAAAUGGAACUCUUCAUAAGGUUCAUCUCAAAGAUCUCUCUUUGCAUAAUGUGUGUGUGGACCUGCCUACAGAUACAUUGGGUGGAAGCCCUAGGAGCCUCAAGCAAGUCUGAAGAUUGGCCCUGAGAACCACUGUUCUCAUUAUCAGCAAGGAUUUUAUCCAGAGACCUCUAGGAAUACAUUCACUAAAAUGUGACUGUGGUCCUGUGGUUGUAUGAACUCUGGCUCUUCUCGUGAAUUACAUUUCACUGGAGUCAGGUGUUUUCUGUAAACAUCGUUAAACCACGAGACCAACUGCAUUGAACAUUUUUUGCACUACAUUGUUUUAUUUCUUGCUCGUCUUUUCCUUGCAGAGCUGGGGCUGGGGUGA